rnacentral:rRNA from 1 species
GUGUCAGCAGCCGCGGUAAUACGUAGGUGGCGAGCGUUGUCCGGAAUUAUUGGGCGUAAAGAGCGUGUAGGUGGGAUCAUAAGUCUUUUGUCAAAGUGCGGGGCUCAACCCCGUGAUGCGGAGGAAACUGUGAUUCUUGAGUGCCGGAGAGGAAAGCGGAAUUCCCAGUGUAGCGGUGAAAUGCGUAGAUAUUGGGAGGAACACCAGUGGCGAAGGCGGCUUUCUGGACGGUGUCUGACACUGAGGCGCGAAAGCCAGGGGAGCGAACGGGAUUAGAAACCCCCGUAGUCC